rnacentral:rRNA from 1 species
AUACAGAGGGUGCAAGCGUUAAUCGGAAUUACUGGGCGUAAAGCGCGCGUAGGCGGUUUGUUAAGUUGGAUGUGAAAGCCCCGGGCUUAACCUGGGAGGGUCAUUCAAAACUGGCAGACUAGAGUGUGGUAGAGGGUAGUGGAGUUCCUAGUGUAGCGGUGAAAUGCGUAGAGAUUAGGAGGAACACCAGUGGCGAAGGCGACUGCCUGGACCAACACUGACGCUGAGGUGCGAAAGCGUGGGUAGCGAACAGGAUUAGAUACCCUAGUAGUCC